AGAGUUUGAUCAUGGCUCAGGACGAACGCUGGCGGCGUGCUUAAUACAUGCAAGUCGAGCGAGGUUACUGUUUUGGAUCCCUUCGGGGUGAAGAAGCUUUAACCUAGCGGCGGACGGGUGAGUAACGCGUGGGUAACCUACUCCAAAGUCCGGGAUAACAGCGGGAAACCGCUGCUAAUACCGGAUGCCUUUACCUUGGGGCAUCUUGAGGUAAAGAAAGGUAACGCUUUGGGAUGGGCCCGCGUCCCAUUAGCUAGUUGGUGAGGUAACGGCUCACCAAGGCGACGAUGGGUAGCCGGCCUGAGAGGGUGGACGGCCACACUGGGACUGAGACACGGCCCAGACUCCUACGGGAGGCAGCAGUAGGGAAUAUUGCGCAAUGGACGGAAGUCUGACGCAGCGACGCCGCGUGAGCGAUGAAGGUCUUCGGAUCGUAAAGCUCUGUCCUUGGGGAAGAAGGCGAAAGCUUGACGGUACCCAAGAAGAAAGCCCCGGCUAACUACGUGCCAGCAGCCGCGGUAAUACGUAGGGGGCGAGCGUUGUCCGGAAUUACUGGGCGUAAAGGGUGCGUAGGCGGCCCUUUAAGUCGGAUGUGAAAGCCCGCGGCUUAACCGCGGAAUGGCAUUCGAAACUGGAGGGCUUGAGUGUCGGAGAGGGUAGUGGAAUUCCCAGUGUAGCGGUGAAAUGCGUAGAUAUUGGGAGGAACACCAGUGGCGAAGGCGACUGCCUGGACGAUAACUGACGCUGAGGCACGAAAGCUAGGGGAGCAAACAGGAUUAGAUACCCUGGUAGUCCUAGCCGUAAACGAUGGGUACUAGGUGUGGGUGGUUUCGAUACCAUCCGUGCCGUANUUAACGCAUUAAGUACCCCGCCUGGGGAGUACGUGCGCAAGCAUGAAACUCAAAGGAAUUGACGG
rnacentral:rRNA from 1 species